UAAUUACUCCCUCCGUCCCAAAAUUCUUGUCUUAGAUUUGCCUAGAUACGGAUGUAUCUAAUACUAAAACGUGACUUGAUACAUCCGUAUUUAGAUAAAUUCAAGACAAGAAUUUUGGGACAGAGGGAGUAUCAU
rnacentral:pre_miRNA from 1 species